rnacentral:rRNA from 1 species
GACGAACGCUGUCGGCGUGCUUAACACAUGCAAGUCGAACGGAAAGGCCCUGCUUUUGUGGGGUGCUCGAGUGGCGAACGGGUGAGUAACACGUGAGUAACCUGCCCUUGACUUUGGGAUAACUUCAGGAAACUGGGGCUAAUACCGGAUAGGAGCUCCUGCUGCAUGGUGGGGGUUGGAAAGUUUCGGCGGUUGGGGAUGGACUCGCGGCUUAUCAGCUUGUUGGUGGGGUAGUGGCUUACCAAGGCUUUGACGGGUAGCCGGCCUGAGAGGGUGACCGGCCACAUUGGGACUGAGAUACGGCCCAGACUCCUACGGGAGGCAGCAGUGGGGAAUAUUGCACAAUGGGCGGAAGCCUGAUGCAGCAACGCCGCGUGCGGGAUGACGGCCUUCGGGUUGUAAACCGCUUUCGCCUGUGACGAAGCGUGAGUGACGGUAAUGGGUAAAGAAGCACCGGCUAACUACGUGCCAGCAGCCGCGGUGAUACGUAGGGUGCGAGCGUUGUCCGGAUUUAUUGGGCGUAAAGGGCUCGUAGGUGGUUGAUCGCGUCGGAAGUGUAAUCUUGGGGCUUAACCCUGAGCGUGCUUUCGAUACGGGUUGACUUGAGGAAGGUAGGGGAGAAUGGAAUUCCUGGUGGAGCGGUGGAAUGCGCAGAUAUCAGGAGGAACACCAGUGGCGAAAGCGGUUCUCUGGGCCUUUCCUGACGUUGAGGAACGAAAGCGUGGGGAGCGAACAGGCUUAGAUACCCUGGUAGUCCACGCUGUAAACGGUGGGUACUAGGUGUGGGGUCCAUUCCACGGGUUCCGUGCCGUAGCUAACGCUUUAAGUACCCCGCCUGGGGAGUACGGCCGCAAGGCUAAAACUCAAAGGAAUUGACGGGGCCCCGCACAAGCGGCGGAGCAUGCGGAUUAAUUCGAUGCAACGCGUAGAACCUUACCUGGGUUUGACAUGGAUCGGGAGUGCUCAGAGAUGGGUGUGCCUCUUUUGGGGUCGGUUCACAGGUGGUGCAUGCCUGUCGUCAGCUCGUGUCGUGAGAUGUUGGGUUAAGUCCCGCAACGAGCGCAACCCUUGUUCACUGUUGCCAGCACGUUAUGGUGGGGACUCAGUGGAGACCGCCGGGGUCAACUCGGAGGAAGGUGGGGAUGACGUUAAGUCAUCAUGCCCCUUAUGUCCAGGGCUUCACGCAUGCUACAAUGGCUGGUACAGAGAGUGGCGAGCCUGUGAGGGUGAGCGAAUCUCGGAAAGCCGGUCUCAGUUCGGAUUGGGGUCUGCAACUCGACCUCAUGAAGUCGGAGUCGCUAGUAAUCGCAGAUCAGCAACGCUGCGGUGAAUACGUCCCCGGG